AGCAGCUGUAGCUCAGUGGUUAAAAUGGUGGACUACUGAUCGGCAUGUCGUGAGUUCAAAUCCCAGCACUGCUA